AAGUCGUAACAAGGUUUCCGUAGGUGAACCUGCGGAAGGAUCAUUACCACACCUAAAAACUUUCCACGUGAACCGUAUCAAACCAAAUUGGGAGUUUGUUUGGUAGCGGCUAUUGGCAAUUUUUGCUGGUUAGCUGUUGCGGAGCAAGCUCUAUCAUGGCGAAUGUUUGGACUUCGGUCUGAAUUAGUAGCUUCAUUUUAAACCAUUUCUUAAAUACUGAUUAUACUGUAAGGACGAAAGUCCUUGCUUUUAACUAGAUAACAACUUUCAGCAGUGGAUGUCUAGGCUCGC
rnacentral:misc_RNA from 1 species